UCACGGCGGCGCUUCUUCUCCGGCGAACAGCUUCCGGCGGCGGCUCCUCCUCGCGGACGGCUCCCUCGGACGGCUUCUUCUUCCCCACGAGCAGCUCCCUCGGACGGCGCCUCCUCCUUCCCGGCGGAACACCCCUCCUCCUCCACCCCUCUACCCCCGGCACCCUCUCAACCCGGCCCUCAACACUCCGUAUCUGGGAACGGGCAAAGCCCG
rnacentral:lncRNA from 1 species